rnacentral:rRNA from 1 species
GAUGAACGCUAGCUACAGGCUUAACACAUGCAAGUCGAGGGGAAACGACAUCGAAAGCUUGCUUUUGAUGGGCGUCGACCGGCGCACGGGUGAGUAACGCGUAUCCAACCUGCCCAUCACUUGGGAAUAACCUUGCGAAAGUAAGACUAAUACCCAAUGAUAUCCCACGAAGGCAUCGGAAUGGGAUUAAAGAUUUAUCGGUGAUGGAUGGGGAUGCGUCUGAUUAGCUUGUUGGCGGGGUAACGGCCCACCAAGGCAGCGAUCAGUAGGGGUUCUGAGAGGAAGGUCCCCCACAUUGGAACUGAGACACGGUCCAAACUCCUACGGGAGGCAGCAGUGAGGAAUAUUGGUCAAUGGGCGAGAGCCUGAACCAGCCAAGUAGCGUGCAGGAAGACGGCCCUAUGGGUUGUAAACUGCUUUUAGAAGGGAAUAAAGUGGGUCACGUGUGACUUUUUGCAUGUACCUUAUGAAUAAGGACCGGCUAAUUCCGUG